UACGGAGGGUGCGAGCGUUGUCCGGAAUCAUUGGGCGUAAAGAGCUCGUAGGCGGCUUGUCGCGUCGGAUGUGAAAGCCCGGGCUUAACUCCGGGUCUGCAUUCGAUACGGGCAGGCUAGAGUUCGGUAGGGGAGAUCGGAAUUCCUGGUGUAGCGGUGAAUGCGCAGAUAUCAGGAGGAACACCGGUGGCGAAGGCGGAUCUCUGGGCCGAUACUGACGCUGAGGAGCGAAAGCGUGGGGAGCGAACAGG
rnacentral:rRNA from 1 species